UACGUAGGGUGCAAGCGUUGUCCGGAAUUAUUGGGCGUAAAGAGCUUGUAGGCGGUUUGUCGCGUCUGCUGUGAAAUUUCGGGGCUCAACCCCGAACUUGCAGUGGGUACGGGCAGACUAGAGUGUGGUAGGGGAGACGUGGAAGUUCCUGGUGUAGCGGUGAAAUGCGCAGAUAUCAGGAGGAACACCGAUGGCGAAGGCAGGUCUCUGGGCCAUAACUGACGCUGAGAAGCGAAAGCAUGGGGAGCGAACAGG
rnacentral:rRNA from 1 species